AAGUGAGAAUGCCGGUGUGAGUAGCGAAAGACGGGUGAGAAUCCCGUCCACCGAUUGACUAAGGUUUCCAGAGGAAGGCUCGUCCGCUCUGGGUUAGUCGGGUCCUAAGCUGAGGCCGACAGGCGUAGGCGAUGGAUAACAGGUUGAUAUUCCUGUACCACCUAUAAUCGUUUUAAUCGAUGGGGGGACGCAGUAGGAUAGGCGAAGCGUGCGAUUGGAUUGCACGUCUAAGCAGUAAGGCUGAGUAUUAGGCAAAUCCGGUACUCGUUAAGGCUGAGCUGUGAUGGGGAGAAGACAUUGUGUCUUCGAGUCGUUGAUUUCACACUGCCGAGAAAAGCCUCUAGAUAGAAAAUAGGUGCCCGUACCGCAAACCGACACAGGUAGUCAAGAUGAGAAUUCUAAGGUGAGCGAGCGAACUCUCGUUAAGGAACUCGGCAAAAUGACCCCGUAACUUCGGGAGAAGGGGUGCUCUUUAGGGUUAACGCCCAGAAGAGCCGCAGUGAAUAGGCCCAAGCGACUGUUUAUCAAAAACACAGGUCUCUGCUAAACCGUAAGGUGAUGUAUAGGGGCUGACGCCUGCCCGGUGCUGGAAGGUUAAGAGGAGUGGUUAGCUUCUGCGAAGCUACGAAUCGAAGCCCCAGUAAACGGCGGCCGUAACUAUAACGGUCCUAAGGUAGCGAAAUUCCUUGUCGGGUAAGUUCCGACCCGCACGAAAGGCGUAACGAUUUGGGCACUGUCUCAACGAGAGACUCGGUGAAAUCAUAGUACCUGUGAAGAUGCAGGUUACCCGCGACAGGACGGAAAGACCCCGUGGAGCUUUACUGUAGCCUGAUAUUGAAAUUCGGCACAGCUUGUACAGGAUAGGUAGGAGCCUUUGAAACGUGAGCGCUAGCUUACGUGGAGGCGCUGGUGGGAUACUACCCUAGCUGUGUUGGCUUUCUAACCCGCACCA
rnacentral:rRNA from 1 species